rnacentral:sRNA from 1 species
AUGGCCCCGGCUGCACGGGUGGUGCGGGCGCUGUGGCCUGGCGGGUGUGCCUUGUCCUGGAGGCUGGGCGGCCGCCCCCAGCCGCUGCUCCCCACGCAAAGCCGGGCUGGCUUCGCGGGGGCGGCGGGCGGCCCGCGCGCCGUGGCUGCAGCUCGUAAGGGGAGCCCGCGGCUGCUGGGGGCGGCGGCGCUGGCCCUGGGGGGAGCCCUGGGGCUGUACCACACGGCGCGGUGGCACCUGCGCGCCCAGGACCUCCACGCAGAGCGCUCAGCCGGGCAGCUCUCCCUGUCCAGCCGCCUGCAGCUGACCCUGUACCAGUACAAGACUUGUCCCUUCUGCAGCAAGGUCCGAGCCUUCCUCGACUUCCACGCCCUGCCCUACCAGGUGGUGGAGGUGAACCCUGUGCGCAGGGCUGAGAUCAAGUUCUCCUCCUACAGAAAGGUGCCCAUCCUGGUGGCCCAGGAAGGAGAAAGCUUGGGACAGCAGAUAUGAAAUGCCUGGCACAGUGCUUGGGGUCUAGUAUGUAGCUUCCAGAACCCACCCUGCCCCUCUACCUGGGAGGCCAAAUGGCAACAACUGAACGACUCCUCUGUCAUCAUCAGUGCCCUCAAGACCUACCUGGUGUCGGGGCAGCCCCUGGAAGAGAUCAUCACCUACUACCCAGCCAUGAAGGCUGUGAACGACCAGGGCAGGGAGGUGACCGAGUUCGGCAAUAAGUACUGGCUCAUGCUCAACGAGAAGGAGGCCCAGCAAGUGUAUGGCGGGAAGGAGGCCAGGACGGAGGAGAUGAAGUGGCGGCAGUGGGCGGACGACUGGCUGGUGCACCUGAUCUCCCCCAAUGUGUACCGCACGCCCACCGAGGCUCUGGCGUCCUUUGACUACAUUGUCCGCGAGGGCAAGUUCGGAGCCGUGGAGGGCGCCGUGGCCAAGUACAUGGGUGCAGCAGCCAUGUACCUCAUCAGCAAGCGACUCAAGAGCAGGCAAGUGUGUGUGCACAUCCAGGGCAUGCUGUCCCCGAGCCUCCAGUGCCACGAGCAGUGGUGAUCCCAUCACACCCCUCAGGAGACCAGCGGGAGGCUGAGGCCUAGGGCGGGUGGGAAACGCGUUAUGGAUUAUGGGUCCCUUGACCAAGACGGGACUUGGACGCAGAGCUCCUGCUCACCUCCCCCGCGGACAGCAGGGCUGGCCUUGAAGCUAGAAGCCUGGGCCCUGACUGGCACCUUCUCUGCGGUUUUCUCCCUGGCCUGGUCUCUUGCCCUUGCCACAGCCUCCCUGUCUGGGACAGAUGCUCCCUGAGGCGUCUGCAGAUGUGAUGCUCUCACCUGGGGUGCCGUCCUGGCUUCCACACCUCCCCGCUCUCCCCAGAGGAGACCCUCUUCCCUGCUGGGCUGGGAGUGGGGGCUCCCCUGAGGGGCUUUUCCCUUCCCCGCCCAGGCACCGCCUCCAGGACAAUGUGCGCGAGGACCUCUAUGAGGCUGCCGACAAGUGGGUGGCUGCUGUGGGCAAGGACCGGCCCUUCAUGGGGGGCCAGAAGCCGAAUCUCGCCGAUUUGGCGGUGUAUGGCGUGCUGCGUGUGAUGGAGGGGCUGGAUGCAUUCGAUGACCUGAUGCAGCACACGCACAUCCAGCCCUGGUACCUGCGGGUGGAGAGGGCCAUCACCGAGGCAUCCCUGGCGCACUGAAUGUCCCCGCGCAGAGCGGGGGGAAGGCAGCAGAAGACGCCAGCUGCCAGGGCCUGGGGCCACUGGGCCAGCGCCUGGCGAUACUGGUGGGGGGCAGGAUCAUUCUGCCCCUUGUCCACCCACUCCCCCAGCCCUCUUACUUCUAACACAGGGCACCUGCUGGGGCUCAGGGAUGUUAGGGACGAGUUCCAGCCCUGCCACUGCCCUGGGGCGACCCCUCCCUGUCCCUGCCUCCCUGCUCUGCCACCCCUCUCCCUGGACCCUCAGUGGCUGUCCCAUGGCUACAUCCUGUGGGUGGGGGGCCUCGACAGGACGGCAGGACGCUUCAUUUUCAGUGGAAUCCCAUCCCUGGGUUCCCCUGGUUCCCACUCUUCCCAAGCCUCCCGGGACUGGGACGUGUUUGCAAUAAAGGAAAGGUCUG